GAUGAACGCUGGCGGCGUGCCUAAUACAUGCAAGUCGAGCGAACAGACGAGGAGCUUGCUCCUCUGACGUUAGCGGCGGACGGGUGAGUAACACGUGGAUAACCUACCUAUAAGACUGGGAUAACUUCGGGAAACCGGAGCUAAUACCGGAUAACAUGUUGAACCGCAUGGUUCAACAGUGAAAGACGGUCUUGCUGUCACUUAUAGAUGGAUCCGCGCCGCAUUAGCUAGUUGGUAAGGUAACGGCUUACCAAGGCAACGAUGCGUAGCCGACCUGAGAGGGUGAUCGGCCACACUGGAACUGAGACACGGUCCAGACUCCUACGGGAGGCAGCAGUAGGGAAUCUUCCGCAAUGGGCGAAAGCCUGACGGAGCAACGCCGCGUGAGUGAUGAAGGUCUUCGGAUCGUAAAACUCUGUUAUUAGGGAAGAACAAAUAUGUAAGUAACUAUGCACGUCUUGACGGUACCUAAUCAGAAAGCCACGGCUAACUACGUG
rnacentral:rRNA from 1 species